rnacentral:rRNA from 1 species
CGCCCACUAGCUAGCCCCCCAAACCAAAAACAACACACCAAUAUAAAUACCCCUAAAUGCACUAACACCUGCAUAAAACAAACCAUUUUUCCCCCUUAGUAUGGGCGACAGAAAAGGAACUGUGGCGCAAUAGAGAAAGUACCGCAAGGGAACGCUGAAAGAGCAAUGAAACAACUCAGUCAAGCCUAAAAAAGCAGAGAUUUAAACUCGUACCUUUUGCAUCAUGAUUUAGCCAGUAAAACCCAAGCAAAGAGCCCUUUAGUUUGGUUUCCCGAAACUAAGUGAGCUACUCCAAGACAGCCUAUUAAUAGGGCAAACCCGUCCCUGUGGCAAAAGGGUGGGAAGAGCUUUGAGUAGAGGUGACAGACCUACCGAACUUAGUUAUAGCUGGUUGCCUGAGAAUUGAAUAGAAGUUCAGCCUCUCGGCUUCUUCCCUCACCCUCGUCUGACUCCCCUCUGACACCUCAAGAAACCGCGAGAGUUAUUCAAAGGGGGUACAGCCCCUUUGAAACAAGACACAACUUUACCAGGAGGGUAAAGAUCAUAAUAACAUAAAGGUAAAAUAUUCUGGUGGGCCUAAAAGCAGCCAUCCCUAUAGAAAGCGUUAAAGCUCAGACAUACCCCACAUCCUUUUAUACUGAUAAUCAAAUCUUAACCCCCUAGCCUUACCAGGCCGUCCCAUGCAAACAUGGGAGCGACUAUGCUAAUAUGAGUAAUAAGAGAGCCUCCGCCUCUCUCCUUGCACACGUGUAAAUCGGAAUGGACCACCCACCGAAUCUUAACGGCCCCAAACAAAGAGGGAACUGAACAACAGACCAAACAACCAGAAAACCAUCCAACAAACAACCGUUAACCCCACACUGGUGUGCCCCUAAGGAAAGACUAAAAGAAAAAGAAGGAACUCGGCAAACACAUGAAGCCUCGCCUGUUUACCAAAAACAUCGCCUCUUGCAAAAACUGAAAAAUAAGAGGUCCCGCCUGCCCUGUGACUAUAUGUUUAACGGCCGCGGUAUUUUGACCGUGCGAAGGUAGCGCAAUCACUUGUCUUUUAAAUGGAGACCUGUAUGAAUGGCAUAACGAGGGCUUAGCUGUCUCCUUUUUCAAGUCAAUGAAAUUGAUCUCCCCGUGCAGAAGCGGGGAUAACACCAUAAGACGAGAAGACCCUAUGGAGCUUUAGACACCAAGGCAGAUCAUGUUAAACACCCCUUCACAAAGGACCAAACCAGAUGAACCCUGCCCUAAUGUCUUUGGUUGGGGCGACCGCGGGGAAACAGAAAACCCCCACGUGGAAUGGGAAUACCCCUCCUACAACUAAGAGCUCCCGCUCUAAUGACCAGAAUUUCUGACCAAUCAGAUCCGGCAACGCCGAUCAACGGACCGAGUUACCCUAGGGAUAACAGCGCAAUCCCCUUUUAGAGCCCAUAUCGACAAGGGGGUUUACGACCUCGAUGUUGGNNNNNGACAUCCUAAUGGUGCAGCCGCUAUUAAGGGUUCGUUUGUCAACG